CACGCCCUAAACGAUGUCUACUAGUUGUCGGGUCUUAAUUGACUUGGUAACGCAGCUAACGCGUGAAGUAGACCGCCUGGGGAGUNACGCGAAAAACCUUACCUACCCUUGACAUGGCAGGAAUCCUGAAGAGAUUUGGGAGUGCUCGAAAGAGAACCUGCACACAGGUGC
rnacentral:rRNA from 1 species